UGAACAAUUGGCAGGUGAUCCUGGAAGCCUA
rnacentral:piRNA from 1 species